ensembl:lincRNA C030014I23Rik RIKEN cDNA C030014I23 gene
GAGGGGGAAAGCAAGGAGCUGGGGGAAGCAGACUGCAGGGAGACAGCGCCUGGAACCCCCUCCCCAGGGACCUGGCCCUGGGCCCCCAGCCCCAAAAGGGGCCCUGCCCUCCCCGNNNNNNNNNNNNNNNNNNNNNNNCCCCCCCCCCGCCCUGCCCCCGCCCUUCAGCUUUGUGUCCCCAGGAGGGUGGGCUGCAAGAUUUCCAGCCAAGCCUUGGCUGCCUGCUCAGUUUUUCCAAACCCUCCAGUCGGAGAAGGCGGGAGCCUUGUCAGGAUAAGAGUCCCUCCCCCCUCUGCCCCUGCCGGCCCCCUGGUCCAGCUUGGAGUUUCCUGUCCUCGCAGCUUUCCAAACUCCUUUCCCUUUCCGACCCUGGCCCCAGCGCCCCCUAGCCCCACCUCUGUUGGUUCCCAAAUUCCAAGUUCAGGUUGGAGGGGCCAGGUGGACUCCACAAUCCUAGCGAGGCGCUGGUAAAGCCUCACUCUGCCGGCCGACCCAGAGACCUGCGGGGCGCCGGCCUGACUCCCGGCCUGGGCCCGCCCUGUCCCAGGACUCGGCUUCUGGCCACCAGGGAAGGUGGCUCUUGGGGUCUCCCGCUCCCGGAAGGAGGCGGUGCCGGGGACGUCGGCACAGCUGGGCGGUAAGAUAGAAACUCAUAUUUGCCCAGUUGGAGCUCGGGUUCCAUAUGAAGCUGAAGCUGCUCUUGAACUGAUCCUCCGGCCUUCCCUUCCUGUCAUGAUGAGCCCUUCAUUCAGGGCUUAUACCCCUGCCCCUCAUCUGGACCUCCCCGAUCUUGCCCAGUGCCCAGCUCCUGGGCCAUCCACCCAGAAACAUUCACUGAAGCCCUCCUGUGAACCUGGCCAGCACCUGAGACAGUCAUGCAAGGAACACAGAGACUGGAAGUUAUGAUCUGAGUCCUCAGGAAUCUCAUGCCAGCCAGAUGUACAGACAGGAGGAACGACACAUAUGGGAGUCAGUACUCUGGUGGGUGGCACUGAUGUGACAGGUGAUGGGGAACAGAAGACACAGGUUGCUACUGUUCUUUGUGAAGCAGUCAGCGCUCGCUCGGCACUGGUUGAUUUCAUUGGAGGUGAGGGGGCAGUGAGAUAGAAGGAAAAUGGCCUGGGAGAAGAAGCCUUGAGUUCUAGUCCCAGGUUCACAAUUCUAGUUGUGUAACUUGGUAAUUCCUUAAGUCACACAAGCUUCACUUUUCUCAUUUACCCCUUCCUUGUAAAUUCGUGGUGGUAACCAUUGAGAUAAUAUAGGCAAUGCUUUAAAGAA